rnacentral:rRNA from 1 species
ACUCAUAACCGCAUUAGGUCUCCAAGGUGAACAACCUCUGGUUGAUGGAAAAAUGUAGGAAAGGGAAGUCGGCAAAAUGGAUCUGUAACUUCGGGAAAAGAAUUGGCUCUCAGGGCUGGGCACGGGAGUCCCCGUCCCGAACCCGUCGGUCAUCAGUUGACUGCUCGAGCUGCUCCUGUGGCGAGAGCGGGUCGUGCGUGCCGGUCGGGGGAUGGACUGGGAACGUUUCCUCCGAAGGCCUUCCCCGGGCGUCGAACUGCCAACUCAGAACUGGUACAGACAAGGGAAAUCCGACUGUUUAAUUAAAACAAAGCAUUGCGAUUGUCCUAACGGCUGUUUAUGCAAUGUGAUUUCUGCCCUGUGCUCUGAAUGUCAAAGUGAAGAAAUUCAACCAWGCGCGGGUAAACGGCGGGAGUAACUAUGACUCUCUUAAGGUAGCCAAAUGCCUCAUCAUCUAAAUAGUGACGCACAUGAAUGGAUUAACGAGAUUCCCACUGUCCCUGUCUACUAUCCAGCGAAACCACAACCAAGGGAACGGGCUUGGCAGAAUCAGCAGGGAAAGAAGACCCUGUUGAGCUUUACUCUAGUUUGACUUUGUGAAAUGACUUGAGAGGKGUAGUAUAAGUGGGAGCCGAAAGGCGAAAGUGAAAUUCCACAACUUUUAACAUUAUUUUACUUAUUCCGUGAAUUAGAGCGGGGCACUGCCCCCUCUUUGGACCCAGGGCUCACUUCGCGGGCCGAUCUGGGCGGAAGACAUUGUCAGGUGGGGAUAUUGGCUGGGGCGGUACAUCUGUUAAAAGAUAACGCAGGUGUCAUAAGAUGAGAGAACAGAAAUCUCGUGUGGAACAGAAGGGUAAAAGCUCRUUUGAUUCUGAUUUCCAGUACGAAUACGAACCGUGAAAGCAUGGCCUAACGAUCCUUCAGACCUUCGUAAUUCGAAGCUAAGGGUGUACCAAAAGUUACCACACGGAUAACUGGCUUGUGGCAGCCACGCGUUCAUAGUGACGUUGCUUUUUUAUCCUUUGAUGUCGGCUCUUCCUAUCAUUGUGAAGCAGAAUUCACCAAGUGUUGGAGUGUUCACCCACCAAUAGGGAACGUGAGCUGGGUUUAGAGCGUCGUGUGACAGGUUUGUUUUACCCUACUGAUGACAGUGUCGCAAUAGUAAUUCAACCUAUUACGAGAGGAACCAUUGAUUCACACAAUUGGCCGUCGUGCUUGGUUGAAAAGCCAGUGACACGAUGCUACCAUAUGCUGGAUUAUGACUGAACGCCUCUAAGUCAGAAUCCAGUCUAGAAGCGACGCAUGAGCCCGCCGUCCGCUUGU